CCUACGGGUGGCUGCAGUGGGGAAUAUUGGACAAUGGGCGAAAGCCUGAUCCAGCCAUGCCGCGUGUGUGAAGAAGGCCUUCGGGUUGUAAAGCACUUUCAGUGGGGAAGAAAGCCUUGGGGCUAAUACCCUCGAGGAAGGACAUCACCCACAGAAGAAGCACCGGCUAACUCCGUGCCAGCAGCCGCGGUAAUACGGAGGGUGCGAGCGUUAAUCGGAAUUACUGGGCGUAAAGCGCGCGUAGGCGGUCUGAUAAGCCGGUUGUGAAAGCCCCGGGCUCACCCUGGGAACGGCAUCCGGAACUGGCAGGCUAGAGUGCAGGAGAGGAAGGUAGAAUUCCCGGUGUAGCGGUGAAAUGCGUAGAGAUCGGGAGGAAUACCAGUGGCGAAGGCGGCCUUCUGGACUGACACUGACGCUGAGGUGCGAAAGCGUGGGUAGCAAACAGGAUUAGAUACCCCGGUAGUC
rnacentral:rRNA from 1 species